AUGGCGUCAGGAUGAACGCUAGCUACAGGCUUAACACAUGCAAGUCAGGGGCAUCAUGAGAUUAGCUUGCUAAUCUUGAUGGCGACCGGCGCACGGGUGAGUAACGCGUAUCCAACCUUCCCUAUACUAGAGGAUAGCCCGGCGAAAGUCGGAUUAAUACUCUAUGUUCUUCGUAGAUGACAUCUGAAAUGAAGCAAAGAUUUAUCGGUAUAGGAUGGGGAUGCGUCUGAUUAGAUAGUAGGCGGGGUAACGGCCCACCUAGUCGACGAUCAGUAGGGGUUCUGAGAGGAAGGUCCCCCACAUUGGAACUGAGACACGGUCCAAACUCCUACGGGAGGCAGCAGUGAGGAAUAUUGGUCAAUGGGCGAGAGCCUGAACCAGCCAAGUAGCGUGCCAGGAUGACGGCCCUAUGGGUUGUAAACUGCUUUUAUACAGGGAUAAAGUGAGGGACGUGUCCCUUUUUGUAGGUACUGUAUGAAUAAGGACCGGCUAAUUCCGUGCCAGCAGCAGC
rnacentral:rRNA from 1 species